ACCAAUGAUGAGUAUUCUGGGGUGUCUGAAUCAAUGAUUUUGAUUAAACCCUGUAACUCUGAGGUCCAUUAUAAGAGGAGACCUAGUUAAUACCUAUAUGGUAAAUGAUAUUAUAGUGGAAGUUAGAAUUAUUUGGGAUUUUGUUCUUAGGUGGUUGAAGUUCAUAGGUGUGGAUUGUAUUACUAGAAAAGAUUUAGUAAAUGAAAAAUGAAACAAAUAUGUAAAUAAAGGAAGACAAGUAGAGCCAUAUGUUGCCUAAUUAUGAGAAUGUAUAAUGUAUUUAUUAUUAUUAACACACUUCUGAAGCACUCAGUUUCAACAUAAAUUGAUUAAAUCUGAUACCUAUUUGGGUAAGGAAUAUACAUACAGAGACAAGUACCUAGAAAUCAGUAUUGUUUGUCCUGCAUUAUUUAGAUGUUGCUGUUUCUUAAUGAACACAAGAAAAUAUGAUCUAGUCUGGGAAUCAUGAGCAAAUGACAGGUGUUAACGCCAUUCAUAUUUCUGAUGCAAUCUGUAUGUUCACAGAUAUUGAUGAUGUCAUGAGUGAAUGUAUACACAGGAGUGAAUGUAUUCAGUUAUUUGAGGAAGGAUAAGUCUACUUUUCUUCCACGUAACAACCACAGGAUAGAUGACAUUCAUUUUCUAAGAAACAAAAUCUUGGCAGUUAGAUCCGUGGGGUAAAGAAUAUAGAUACUAAUAAUGAAAACCAUGUAGCUGGUCUUAUUAUUCUCUAAUCAUGAAGACCAUUAUUGUUAUUUGUGGACUAAGGAGCAGAAAGACUGAUAGUGGACAUAGGCCAGCUGAUUUAAUAAUUUAAGAAAGAACUGUUAUCCUGAGUAAGGAGCAUAGAGACAAAUAUAAAAUGAACGCACUCUACCUGAUUUAAUUAUAGUCUUCUGGUGAAGAUCUUGCUGUUAUCUCUGUGAAUCAGGAGAGAAGAGAUUGAUAAGGAAUAGACGAGAUUGGAUUUGGUCAUUUCCCCAAGGUGAAGAGCAUGGCGAUUUCUUCUGUGGUAAGGAGCAAUAAUGAAGACCAUGGUUGAUUUAAUCAGUCUCUGCUGAUGAAGAUCUUGGCUGUUACCUUUGUGUGUAAGGAAGCUAAAGACUUAAGUAAAUAACAGUCCAAAAACUUGUCAAUUAGGAAUGAAUGCGCAAUGAUUCAAUUAUUCUCCAGCGAGGAAGAUCAUGGUUGUUGUCUGUUUGAGUAAUGAGUGUAGAAACCUAUAAUGGAGGCGUGAUGGCUGAUGCAAUCAUUUUCCACUGAUGAAGGUUUUGAUGGCCACCUGUAAUGAACAGCCCCAUCUGAUUUAAUCACUGUGCAAUGACCGUGAACUGUACAGUUACCUCCGUGUGUCACAGGAAGACUCUUUUGACUUAAGCACCCUUCCAUGGUCAUGAGGUUUCUGGUUGCCUCUGUGUGUUAGAAGCUUGGAGACCAAUGCCUUCUGCUGUGAUCGCGUUCUCCACAGUUGCCUCUGGGUAGGAGCCUGGACACUAAUAGAAGUAAGAGUCAAUCUUCUUGUCAUAUUUUUAUAUUUGUUUAGGGUAGAUUUUAAAAGAUUCACUAUAAAUUUUUAAAUAACCAAAGAAAGCCACCCAUGACCCAGUGGAAAGUAUGUGGUGGACAUGAAACAUGUUGAUUAAUCCAUAUUUAUAACACUGUGGAUGAUUAAUGAAAAAAACAUGGUAAAUGACUUUAUAGACUGGUGUUAGGGAUACUUAAGUCAUCUUGUUCUCAAGGGUUUUGGGAUUUUGUUCAUAAGCGUUUUAGAUAGGUAGAUAUUUACUUUAAUAUGAUUAGUUUACUGAUAAAUUAACCAGUAAAGAAAUGUAGAGAUGAAUGAGAUAAAAGAGGCCCAAGCUUGGGACCAAUGAUAAUGACUGUUGGGGUAUGAGUCAGUGAGGUUGAAUAACAGUUUGUAUCUGGAAAUCUGAGGUCCAACACAAUAAAAAAUUUAGUCUAAUUACUCUGAU
rnacentral:lncRNA from 1 species